AGUGAACGCUGGCGGUAGGCCUAACACAUGCAAGUCGAACGGCAGCACAGUAAGAGCUUGCUCUUACGGGUGGCGAGUGGCGGACGGGUGAGGAAUACAUCGGAAUCUACUUUUUCGUGGGGGAUAACGUAGGGAAACUUACGCUAAUACCGCAUACGACCUACGGGUGAAAGCAGGGGAUCUUCGGACCUUUGCUGAUUGUAUGAGCCGAUGUCGCAUUAGCUAGUUGGCGGGGUAAAGGCCCACCAAGGCGACGAUCCGUAGCUGGUCUGAGAGGAUGAUCAGCCACACUGGAACUGAGACACGGUCCAGACUCCUACGGGAGGCAGCAGUGGGGAAUAUUGGACAAUGGGCGCAAGCCUGAUCCAGCCAUACCGCGUGGGUGAAGAAGGCCUUCGGGUUGUAAAGCCCUUUUGUUGGGGAAGAAAAGCAGCAGGUUAAUACCCCGCUGUUCUGACGGUACCCAAAGAAUAAGCACCGGCUAACUUCGUG
rnacentral:rRNA from 1 species